rnacentral:snoRNA from 1 species
CUUGAGGUCUGUCUCCGUGGGUUUUUUCCCGUGGCUGCACAUCAUUAGAAACACCUCACAGAAGAAUUCUGUGGUUUUCCUUUGCUCACAGGUCUGUUUCUUAGGUCUGUGAGAAGGUACUGCAAGACAGCA